CACGUAGGGUGCGAGCGUUGUCCGGAAUUAUUGGGCGUAAAGAGCUCGUAGGCGGUGUGUCGCGUCGGCCGUGAAAACCUGCAGCUUAACUGUGGGCUUGCGGUCGAUACGGGCAUCACUGGAGUUCGGCAGGGGAGACUGGAAUCCUGGUGUAGCGGUGAAAUGCGCAGAUAUCAGGAGGAACACCGGUGGCGAAGGCGGUGAUCUGGGCCGGCACUGACGCUGAGGAGC
rnacentral:rRNA from 1 species